AUCUGUUAGUGAGGUUCAUACAG
rnacentral:snRNA from 1 species